GACGAACGCUGGCGGCGUGCUUAACACAUGCAAGUCGAACGGAAAGUCCCUGCUUUUGUGGGGUGCUCGAGUUGCUAACUGGUGAUUAACACGUGAGUAACCUGCCCUUGACUUUGGUAUAACUUCUGGACUCUGGUGCUAAUACCGGAUUGGAGCUCCUUCUUCAUGGUGGGUGUUGGAUAGUUUCGGCGGUUGUGGAUGUGCUCGCGGCUUAUCAGCUUGUUGGUGGGGUAGUGCCUGACGAAGUGAUUGACGGGUAGCCGGCCUGGGUGGGUGAACGGGAACAAGGGGACUGAGAGACGGAGCAGACGGCUACGGGAGGCAGCAGUGGGGAAUAUUAUAGAAUGGGCGGAAGCGUGAUGAAGAAGUGCCGCGUGCGGGAUGACGGGUUUCGGGUUGUAAACCGAUUUCGCCGGUGACGAAGAGUGAGUGACGGUAAUGGGUAAAGAAGCAACGGCUAACUACGUG
rnacentral:rRNA from 1 species